CUCCACUCCCACUGCUUCACUUGACCAG
rnacentral:piRNA from 1 species